GAUCAUCAGGGACAGCUUUUCCUGGACGACGCCAAAGUGAAGAAUUUCACCACCUGCUUCAGAGACGAGCGUUUCCUCUCCUUCUUCUUCUCGCGCCUGGAGCGGAACCGGAGCGGCCGCCACGAGGGCGCGUUCCCGUGGCUGUCGCGCUGCGGCCGCGAGCGCAAACCCCCCACAGAAAUCCCACAAAUCCCUCAAUCCCAUCCCUGAAUCCAAUCCCAGAAAUCUCUGAAUCCCAUCCCAUAAAUCCCUCAAUCCGAUCCCAUAAAUUCCGGGAUCUCAUCCC